rnacentral:tRNA from 1 species
AGAAAGUCAUAAAGGUUAUGGGAUUGACUUGAAAUCAGUUUCUGGAGGUUCGAUUCCUUUUUCGUCUA